rnacentral:rRNA from 1 species
UUUAAUUGAAGAGUUUGAUCAUGGCUCAGAUUGAACGCUGGCGGCAGGCCUAACACAUGCAAGUCGAGCGGUAACAGAU